rnacentral:tRNA from 1 species
GGGAAUGUAACUUAGUUGGUACAGUGCUUGCCUUGCAUGCAUAAGGUCCUGGGUUCAAUGCCCAGCACCCCCA